rnacentral:snRNA from 1 species
GGGUGUGAGAGUGAUCUGGCUGGAAUAUUGGUGUCCUCAUUGAUUACCAGGAUUGAUUCUUCUGAUCUGGCUAGGGAGGCCAGAUCCUCCCUCCUCCAGUACUGCCCAGGUUUGUAUCCCUCCCGAAGUUGUGUGUCCACAAAAGAAGAUGCCAUUCCCCUAUCAUAUGAGGACCAGUCUUUGGUCAAAGGUAUAGCUGUACUCCCCUGCUAGAAUCUCCAAACAAGCUGUCAACAAUUGGGAAUAUACUCUAAAAUUAUGACUAGUUCUUUUAUGAAAAUAGAAGUCUGCUGUUCCCUGGUUUUCUGU